AAGGCACUGCCUCAUCUCUCCUCCUUUGAUUCUCAUCUUAUCCCUUCCUCACAGAAAAGCUAAAGUACCUGCGAUCCUCGUAAUGUUUCAAUUGUUUUUCCUUAUUAUUUCUUUAUUCUUCGAAAGAUUUAACUAUUUUUUUCAGGACUCCAGGACCCUCAUUGAAUCAUUUCCCCAAGUUGAGCUUAAGAGAAGAAGAGGAAGAAGAAGAAGAAGAAGAAUUCUGUUCCCCCCUUUUUCUGGGUUUGGUCAUACCUUUUGCAGUCUGUGUGCUUUAUCUUUAUUUUUGUCAGGAUGUCGCGUUAGGUGUUUUUUUCCCAUGACUGCAAGUGUGGUUUGUAUUUUCUAUUCUGACUAAAUCAAAUCUCUUCUUCAAAGUUGUUUGAUCACGCUACAUAAAUAAAGAUUUAAGUUAUAUAGUAACAUUCGAUCGAGAUGUCACACAUAAACAAAUGGGUCAUAUUUUGCUCAAAAUAUAUUCCACUUAUCC